rnacentral:rRNA from 1 species
UACGAAGGGUGCAAGCGUUAAUCGGAAUUACUGGGCGUAAAGGGUGCGUAGGCGGUUCGUUAAGUCUGUCGUGAAAUCCCCGGGCUCAACCUGGGAAUGACGAUGGAUACUGGCGAGCUAGAGUGUGUCAGAGGAUGGUGGAAUUCCCGGUGUAGUGGUGAAAUGCGUAGAUAUCGGGAGGAACACCAGUGGCGAAGGCGACUACCUGGCCCACUCUUGACGCUGAGGCGCGAAAGCUAGGGGAGCAAACGGG